UUCCCUUACUCCUACGGGAGGCAGCAGUAGGGAAUCUUCCACAAUGGACGCAAGUCUGAUGGAGCAACGCCGCGUGAGUGAAGAAGGGUUUCGGCUCGUAAAGCUCUGUUGUUAAGGAAGAACGUGGGUGAGAGUAACUGUCACCCAGUGACGGUAUUAACCAGAAGCCUGUUUCC
rnacentral:rRNA from 1 species